rnacentral:rRNA from 1 species
CCCUUAGAUGUUCUGGGCCGCCCGCGCGCUACACUGACGAAUGCAACGAGCUUAUAACCUUGGCCGAAAGGUCUGGGUAAUCUCCAAAUUUCGUCGUGAUGGGGAUAGAUUAUUGCAAUUAUUAAUCUUCAACGAGGAAUGCCUAGUAAGCGCAAGUCAUCAGCUUGCGUUGAUUACGUCCCUGCCCUUUGUACACACCGCCCGUCGCUCCUACCGAUUGAAUGGUCCGGUGAAGCGCUCGGACCGCGGCCUCUUGACGGUUCGCUGUCGAUUGGCUGUGGGAAGUUCGUUAAACCUUAUCAUUUAGAGGAAGGAGAAGUCGUAACA